ACAUAAUUUCUGCUGGUUAUCACAUUUGCUCAGCUCCAGAGGCAGUUGAAUGUAGAGCAAAACAAUACCCUGGACUUCAGAUCUCUCAGCUUGGCCAAGACGUGACUUGCAACCCAUCCGUUGGACUGAUUUGUCAAAACAAUAAGCAAGGUCUUCAGCAAAAGUGCUUUGAUUACGAGAUUCGAGUGAAAUGUUGUCAAUGUGGAACCAUAACACACAUCCCCA